rnacentral:lncRNA from 1 species
GCUUCCUCGAAUUUACGACUAAACUCAUCAUUCAUCGAGGCCCUCAUGAUGCAACGCACUGUAGUGCAAUCGUUGAGCCACUUCUGAUAAGCGUCUCUGAUUGCACAUGGUGCAUUGGCUGCAGGUUCCUCAGGUGCAGGAUCCGAUAUCACAUACAGGAUCCGCUCAUGCUCUAAUACUAUUUUCAUCUUUCGAUACCAGCUAUCGAAGUUAGGUCCAUUAAGCUUAUCAUUGUCUAAUAGUGUUCGGAGGGACAAUGAGUUAGCCAUAUCUGAAAAAUAAAGGAAAAACCCAACUAAUCAGUAUAUGAUUUAUUUAAUCCUAAAGACUUGAAUUUUAGUCUAAAGUUUUCUCCCACUAUUUUAAUCGAAUUAAUAGCCUCUACCUUUAAUUCGAGGAAUUACUUUAAUUCCCUAGUGGGUACUAGAAUCCGCAUAGACUGCAUACGGGCCCAAGGAAGGCUCGGCUAACCCAUGUGCAUCUAAGGGUAGGUACAUUACCAAUUAUUUCUCUAAACAAUUUCUAGCAAUCAAUUUUGCCCCAAGUGGUAAUCAAUAGGCGGAGGCCUCCACUGAAAAUCCUGGUUAGGUCCAACCAUUAAUGAACUAACUCGAUGAUACUACCUAAUGUAUGAUCAGGCCCGAGGAAGGCUCAGCCAACCUAAUCACAAUUAGAUAGCUCAAAAAGCUAUCAUAUAAUGAAGAAUAAUUCCAGUAUUUAGAGGAACACCAGACGGAAGCGUCCUGCAUGUUCAACUGUAAUAUUGGACCUAUUAUCAUUCACCUUAAUGGGAGGCUAUGAUCUAGUUAUCUAUAUAACUUUAUCAUUUUAAGGACCUAAUAAUUUAGAGGAUUUUAAAUGAUAUGUAACCUGAUCGAUAAUUCUAAAUCCUCCCACUGAUUUCACCAAAUCAUAUAGAGAACUAGCUCUUAUUGGUCUAUUAGACACCUAAAUCAGUCACACUGAUUUCCUUAAUGGCAUGGGUGAGUGCCAAGUCUCAAGGUACCUUAAUCAAAACUGAUCGACCAAAUUGGCCAGGUAAGAGAGAUCAUGGGAGGGUUACGCCAUUAACCUCUUUCCUAGACACCAACUAUGUUGGCUAGGCAAGAGGUAGCCCCAAUUAAAAACCAUGAUCAAAUGCCGACUUACCUUAGACACCAAUUGGUUUAUCAAGUUGAUUUAGGUUAUCCUUAGGAACUCGGGCUCGACCACUGAGCCACAAUCAGAUCCAAUUGAAAUGUUUAGAUAUGAUAAACUACAACUAUUGAGUUUAUCAUUUUAUA